CUUUACUUCUUUUUUACCUAUGGAACUUCAUCAUGACCCACUUUAACAGGCAGGAGUCUUACAAGUAUUUUUUAUUUAAUUAUUUCUGACAUAUCUUUGUCCUCCCUACUCUAAAGUAACUAUGCUUUCCUCUCCUUGCCCCAAUAUUCCACCUUAUUCCUAGCUAUCAUAACCUUAUUGUCUUUAUUUGCUUUUUGAUUUUCAAGCUAAUAAUGUUGUAAUGAUUAUGUUCAUUUGAAUUUCUGUGAUUAUUACAUUGCUUUGUAUUAUUGCUUAUCUUCUCUCCAUCAAGUAUUUUCAAGGAAUUUGACAAGGGAAGAGGACCAGUGCUGACCAAGUGAAGAAAAAGAAGAGUCUAUUGCCAAGCUUUGUACAGCAGCCAAUAUCUGAUUAAGGAGUGGGCAGACGGUUAUGCUGGCAUUGAUCCUGUUUCCAAAAGCAGAUCAACAUGAUUCCUCAAGACUCCAAAGAGAUCAACUAUGGGACCUGAAAAUAAAGGCAGACUGCCAUCAAUUUCAUGUUUCUUUGAUAGCAGACAAAUAUGCUUCAACAAUAGUGCAGAGAGUAAUUUAAGGUUUGGACUGCAAGUGAUGGACACACUAAAUAACUCAACUCAAAGAAUUCAAUGGAUAGUGCUGAGUACAUUAUUAUAUAUCUACAAAGUGAUGGGCACACUAAAUAGCUUAACUGACAGAAUUCAAUGGACCGUGCUGAGAACAUUGUUAUAUAUCUACAAAGUGAUGGACACACUAAAUAGCUUAACUGACAAAAUUCAAUGGGCUGUGCUGAGUACAUUGUUAUCUACAAAGUGAUGGACACACUAAAUAGCUUAACUCACAGAAUCCAAUGGACAGAGUUGAGUAUGUACUAAUAUCUACAAAGUGAUGGACACAGUAAACAGCUUAAUUCUCAGGAUUCAGUGUACCAUGCUGAGUACAUAACUCAUUAAGGAUAACUCAUAUGACAUCCACAGCAGAUCACUCAAACUUGUGUUACUACAUUAUUGUACAACUUUUCAUAUACUAAGUUAUUUUUUCUGA